rnacentral:misc_RNA from 1 species
AAUUCUCAACCUUUCAAGCUUGUUUUUUCUUAUAAGCUAGUUAGGCUUGGAUUGUGGAAGUUGCUGGCUUGCGAAAAGUCAGCUCUUCUUAAAUGCAUUAGCGAGAUCACCGCUGACCAUCUUUGGUAUGAUAAUUAAUUUAUACCAUUGAAUCAUCAGCUUCCUCCCAUGGAAGGUUUUGCUACGAAUGGUCUCUAAUGAGACAACUUUUGACAA